UGGGGAAUAUUGGACAAUGGGCGCAAGCCUGAUCCAGCCAUGCCGCGUGAGUGAUGAAGGCCCUAGGGUUGUAAAGCUCUUUUGGCGGGGAAGAUAAUGACGGUACCCGCAGAAUAAGCCCCGGCUAACUUCGUGCCAGCAGCCGCGGUAAUACGAAGGGGGCUAGCGUUGCUCGGAAUCACUGGGCGUAAAGCGCACGUAGGCGGAUUCUUAAGUCAGAGGUGAAAGCCUGGGGCUCAACGCCAGAACUGCCUUUGAUACUGGGAGUCUCGAGUUCGGGAGGGGUGAGUGAAACUGCGAGUGUAGGGGUGAAAUUCGUAGAUAUUCGCAAGAACACCAGUGGCGAAGGCGGCUCACUGGCCCGAUACUGACGCUGAGGUGCGAAAGCGUGGGGAGCAAACA
rnacentral:rRNA from 1 species